rnacentral:lncRNA from 1 species
AAAAAGAAACGUUUGAGGCUUGUAAAAAAAACCUCAGCAUGUGAGGCAAAGCUAAAGGAAACCUCAACAAAAGGAAACCCCCAGGAUUGGACUCCCCUCGGAGCUAGCAACCUGCUAUCCCUCAGUCGCGGUGGAUCAUCUCCUGCAAAACGAUUCCCGGACUUAGGAUCUCAUUCGCUUGGAACGAGCCCCAAAGACGCACAUCUAUUACCCUUCAGGUGAGAUCAUGGGAAGCAAGCUUUCACAUGAGCAGGAAAAGCAUAGGAAUAAUUUGUUAUUUUUGCUAGCUCAGGCAGGGCAUGAUAAGCAUUUAGCACCCCUAGUAGAAAAUGUGUUGUUAGAAAUUGCUACACUGUGCCCCUGGUUUCCAGAGGGGGGUACUUAUGAUAUUAAGAAAAGGAAAGAGGUGGGAGAUGCACUCCAUAGACAUCCUGAGGCAUUUGUACAAGUCUUGCACACCUGGCAUUUGUGUAGAGAUGCAGUUGGAAAGCUCUCUAACCCUUUACUGCAGCCACCAGCUGUCUCUAUGAAUGUUCCCAUAUUGUUGCAACCCCUAGCUGCUUUUAGAAAUACCAUAAUAUUGUUACCUCCAUCUCAGCCUCUAGAUUUCCAGCCUCUCUCCUCUGAGGCCAUGCCAAAGGUAAUUCCAUUGGCACCUUCCUUUGCCAAAAAUGUGCCUGGGUCGAAUGUAAAUUCCAUGCCACCUUCGGUGGACCAAUGCCCGCAAGGGGCUCAGAUCACAGUGCAAAAAUUGGUUAUUCCAAAUAUGGCAGAAGGAAGCAGUGAAGAAAAAACAGCUGACACCUUACCAUUAUUAGCAGUCUAUCUUGUUGUUCAGAAUGCACAGGAACAGAGAGCCCAUGAAUCAUUGCCCUUCACAGUUUUUAAACAAUUGAAGCGAAGUGUGACAGAAAAUGGCUUGCAAGGCAUUCUUGAUGGGCUAAGAGGAGCCAGUACUUUAAUUCCAAACCUUGAAGCCUCUGAAGUCUUAAUGAAACAAUUGGCUUAUGAAAAUGAAAAUUCUGAUUGCAAGACUGCUCUUAAAGUGAUGUAUCAGAAGCCAGAAACAGAGAUUGUUCAAAUGAUUAAGCCUUGCCAGAAUAUUGACACCGAGACUCAUAAAUCUGCCCUCCUAGCAGCAGCUUUGUCUCCUUCAGUGCAUCCUGCUAAGGACAGGCAAUGCCACAAUGGAUGGCCUUCCAGCCUGGGUUUGAAUGGGAGAACAAAGAAUGUUGUGCCAGCUGAUUGUCAGUCUUUUACUGAAGCUAAAUUAGAAGCAAUAGCUGGCUCUACUAACACAGUAGCUUUUAACACACAGUCUCCUGUGACAAAUCUGCGCCAUGCCACUAAGGCAGUGCUGGUUUGA